rnacentral:rRNA from 1 species
CAGACUAGAGGUCGUAGAGGGAGGUGGACUCCAGGUGUAGUGGUGAAAUGCGUAGAUAUCUGGAGGAACACCAGUGGCGAAAGCGACCUCCUGGACCGUACCUGACGCUCAGACGCGAAAGCUAGGGGAGCGAACGGGAUUAGAGACCCCGGUAGUCCUAGCUGUAAACGAUGCAGACUUGGCGUCGGUGGGGUAAAAGCCAUCGGUGCCGAAGCUAACGUGAUAAGUCUGCCGCCUGAGGACUACGGCCGCAAGGUUAAAACUCAAAGGAAUUGACGGGGCCCCGCACAAGCAGCGGAGCGUGUGGUUUAAUUCGUUGCUACGCGAAGAACCUUACCCGGGUUUGACAUAUAGGUGGUAGGGAACAGAGAUGUGACCGACCCUUCGGGGAGCCUAUACAGGUGCUGCAUGGCUGUCGUCAGCUCGUGUCGCGAGAUGUCCGGUUAAGUCCGGUAACGAGCGCAACCCUCGCCACGUGUUACAUGUGUCACGUGGGACCGCCGGUAUCAAGCCGGAGGAAGGCGGGGAUGACGUCAAGUCAGCAUGGCCUUUAUAUCCGGGGCUACACACACGCUACAAUGGCCGGUACAAUGGGUUGCAAAACCGCGAGGUAGAGCCAAUCCCCAAAGCCGGCCUCAGUUCAGAUUGCAGGCUGCAACUCGCCUGCAUGAAGUCGGAGUUGCUAGUAACCGCGCGUCAGCAUUAGUGCGGUGAAUACGUUCCCGGGGCUUGUACACACCGCCCGU